AUUGAACGCUGGCGGCAGGCCUAAUACAUGCAAGUCGAACGAGUGGCGGACGGGCGAGUAAUGUCUGGGCAACUGCCUGAUGGAGGGGGAUAACUACUGGAAACGGUAGCUAAUACCGCAUACCAUCAGAUGUGCCCAGAUGGGAUUAGCUUGUUGGGGUGGUAACGGCUCACCAAGGCGACGAUCCUCAGCUGGUCUGAGAGGAUGACCAGCCACACUGGAACUGAGACACGGUCCAGACUCCUACGGGAGGCAGCAGUGGGGAAUAUUGCACAAUGGGCGAAAGCCUGAUGCAGCCAUGCCGCGUGUAUGAAGAAGGCCUUCGGGUUGUAAAGUACUUUCAGCGGGGAGGCGUUACCCGCAGAAGAAGCACCGGCUAACUCCGUGCCAGCAGCCGCGGUAAUAC
rnacentral:rRNA from 1 species